rnacentral:tRNA from 1 species
GGACAGUUGGCCGAGUGGUCGAAGGCGCUCGCCUGGAACGCGAGUAUGGUGCAAGCCAUCGAGGGUUCGAAUCCCUCAUUGUCCACCA